UACGGGGGGGGCAAGCGUUGUUCGGAAUUACUGGGCGUAAAGGGCUCGUAGGCGGCCAACUAAGUCAGACGUGAAAUCCCCAGGCUCAACCUGGGAACUGCGUCUGAUACUGGAUGGCUUGAAUUCGGGAGAGGGAUGCGGAAUUCCAGGUGUAGCGGUGAAAUGCGUAGAUAUCUGGAGGAACACCGGUGGCGAAGGCGGCAUCCUGGACCGACACUGACACUGAGGAGCGAAAGCCAGGGGAGCAAACGGG
rnacentral:rRNA from 1 species